rnacentral:tRNA from 1 species
GUCAAAGUAGCCAAAUGGUUAAGGCGAUGGACUGCUAAUCCAUUGUGCUCUGCAUGUGUGGUUUCGAAUCCCAUCCUCGUUG